UUUAACGAGAGUUUGAUCCUGGCUCAGGAUGAACGCUGGCGGCGUGCUUAACACAUGCAAGUCGAGCGCGGUCCCUUUGGUGCUUGCACCAGAGAAGACUGAGCGGCGGACGGGUGAGUAACGCGUGGGUAACCUGCCCUAUACACAUGGAUAACAUGCUGAAAAGCAUACUAAUACAUGAUAACGUACACUGAUGGCAUCUUCGGUGUAUCAAAGCGUUAGCGGUAUAGGAUGGACCCGCGUCUGAUUAGCUAGUUGGUGGGGUAAAAGCCUACCAAGGCCACGAUCAGUAGCCGACCUGAGAGGGUGAUCGGCCACAUUGGAACUGAGACACGGUCCAAACUCCUACGGGAGGCAGCAGUGGGGAAUAUUGCACAAUGGGCGAAAGCCUGAUGCAGCAACGC
rnacentral:rRNA from 1 species